UUGUCCGGAAUUAUUGGGCGUAAAGAGCUCGUAGGCGGCGUGUCACGUCGGAUGUGAAAGCCCGGGGCUUAACCCCGGGUCUGCAUUCGAUACGGGCAUGCUGGAGUUCGGCAGGGGAGAUCGGAAUUCCUGGUGUAGCGGUGAAAUGCGCAGAUAUCAGGAGGAACACCGGUGGCGAAGGCGGAUCUCUGGGCCAUUACUGACGCUGAGGAGCGAAAGCGUGGGGAGCGAACAGG
rnacentral:rRNA from 1 species